UAUGAGCAUAAGUAACUUUCAGAAGGCAAAGAGAGGAACUCAGACUUGCCCUUGCAUCCAUGAAGAGGACCUUUAUAACUUCGCAGGAUGUGGGAAUUCCUAGGAUCUGGGAAUUAGGACAAGACCAAAACAAAGAGAAAAGUUGUCCAUCACACCAUGGAGACAAGUCUGUGCAGAAAACACCAAAUCUACAGCCACUUGAGACAAACAGGCAUCAAGAAGCAGGAUGAAAACAGAGCUCCUGGACAACAGUAAAACCACUCAGCUCCCUCCUGAAUCGUGCAAAUGGGAGACCUGCAGACACCAAAAACGCCUAUCUUGAUCUCAUCUAAUAACUCUGUUUUGGUAAUAAGUGGGAGUUUUUGACAGAGAAAAGGAGACAAGGAAAAUGGUGAGAGAAUAAAUAUAAGAGCUACCCCGAUGGCUCUUCUAAAAGUAAAUUUUUAAAAUAUUAUUUAAAAAUAAUGUAAAUAGUAAAACAUUUUAAAUCACAUUAAAUUAACAGUAUAAAGCUCACAAGUGCAAAAGCAAAAAGCAGAAAUCCACAGCUGAGACACGUCUCUAGUCUGGUACACGAGAUCAGGCUGACAUCACUCACUGGCGUGAGCAGAAGUGAGCCCUGAUGACACAGCUGACAAACACACAAACUCAGCAGUCCAUUCUUUGAAAUUAUUAACUUAAUUUUAAAUCUCCAAACUGUUAAUAAAAAGGCACAUUAUACCUAAAUAUCCAACUUCUUAUUAAAAACAGAACUGUGGUAAACCAGUAACUGAAUAUUACCAAAUUAUCAUUCAUAAAAAUAAUCCCCUUCUUCAGAUGUAAACAUC